rnacentral:rRNA from 1 species
AGAGUUUGAUCAUGGCUCAGGAUGAACGCUGGCGGCGUGCCUAACACAUGCAAGUCGAGCGAUCUUCUUCGGAAGAGAGCGGCGGACGGGUGAGUAACGCGUGGGUAACCUGCCCUAUACACACGGAUAACAUACCGAAAGGUAUGCUAAUACGAGAUAAUAUAAGAAAUUCACAUGUUUUUCUUAUCAAAGCUGAGGCGGUAUAGGAUGGACCCGCGUCUGAUUAGCUAGUUGGUAAGGUAAUGGCUUACCAAGGCGACGAUCAGUAGCCGACCUGAGAGGGUGAUCGGCCACAUUGGAACUGAGACACGGUCCAAACUCCUACGGGAGGCAGCAGUGGGGAAUAUUGCACAAUGGGCGAAAGCCUGAUGCAGCAACGCCGCGUGAGCGAUGAAGGCCUUCGGGUCGUAAAGCUCUGUCCUCAAGGAAGAUAAUGACGGUACUUGAGGAGGAAGCCCCGGCUAACUACGUGCCAGCAGCCGCGGUAAUACGUAGGGGGCUAGCGUUAUCCGGAUUUACUGGGCGUAAAGGGUGCGUAGGUGGUUUCUUAAGUCAGGAGUGAAAGGCAACGGCUCAACCGUAGUAAGCUCUUGAAACUGGGAAACUUGAGUGCAGGAGAGGAAAGUGGAAUUCCUAGUGUAGCGGUGAAAUGCGUAGAUAUUAGGAGGAACACCAGUAGCGAAGGCGGCUUUCUGGACUGUAACUGACACUGAGGCACGAAAGCGUGGGGAGCAAACAGGAUUAGAUACCCUGGUAGUCCACGCCGUAAACGAUGAGUACUAGGUGUCGGGGGUUACCCCCCUCGGUGCCGCAGCUAACGCAUUAAGUACUCCGCCUGGGGAGUACGCUCGCAAGAGUGAAACUCGAAGGAAUUGACGGGGACCCGCACAAGUAGCGGAGCAUGUGGUUUAAUUCGAAGCAACGCGAAGAACCUUACCUAAGCUUGACAUCCUUUUGACCGAUGCCUAAUCGCAUUUUUCCCUUCGGGGACAGAAGUGACAGGUGGUGCAUGGUUGUCGUCAGCUCGUGUCGUGAGAUGUUGGGUUAAGUCCCGCAACGAGCGCAACCCUUGCCUUUAGUUGCCAGCAUUAAGUUGGGCACUCUAGAGGGACUGCCAGGGAUAACCUGGAGGAAGGUGGGGAUGACGUCAAAUCAUCAUGCCCCUUAUGCUUAGGGCUACACACGUGCUACAAUGGGUGGUACAGAGGGCAGCCAAGUCGUGAGGCCGAGCUAAUCCCUUAAAGCCAUUCUCAGUUCGGAUUGUAGGCUGAAACUCGCCUACAUGAAGCUGGAGUUACUAGUAAUCGCAGAUCAGAAUGCUGCGGUGAAUGCGUUCCCGGGUCUUGUACACACCGCCCGUCACACCAUGGGAGUUGGGGGCGCCCGAAGCCGGUUAGCUAACCUUUUGGAAGCGGCCGUCGAAGGUGAAACCAAUAACUGGGGUGAAGUCGUAACAAGGUA